CCUACGGGAGGCAGCAGUGAGGAAUAUUGGUCAAUGGACGCAAGUCUGAACCAGCCAUGCCGCGUGCAGGAUGACGGCUCUAUGAGUUGUAAACUGCUUUUGUACGAGGGUAAACCCCGAUACGUGUAUCUGGUUGAACGUAUCGUACGAAUAAGGAUCGGCUAACUCCGUGCCAGCAGCCGCGGUAAUACGGAGGAUCCGAGCGUUAUCCGGAUUUAUUGGGUUUAAGGGGUGCGUAGGCGGUUUGAUAAGUUAGAGGUGAAAUGUCGGGGCUCAACCCCGAAACUGCCUCUAAUACUGUUGGACUAGAGAAUAGUAGAGGUAGGUGGAAUGUAUGGUGUAGCGGUGAAAUGCUUAGAGAUCAUACAGAACACCGAUUGCGAAGGCAGCUUACCAAGCUAUAUCUGACGUUGAGGCACGAAAGCGUGGGUAGCAAACAGGAUUAGAUACCCCGGUAGUC
rnacentral:rRNA from 1 species